rnacentral:lncRNA from 1 species
GUUCUUUUCACAGGUGUGGUGGGAAAAACAAAAGAUGAACCCAAAACUUUCUCUACCCUCAAAGGGUGCAUGCUCUGGUUUGAGAUCUAAUAUAUAAAUAUCCGCAGCCAGAAAAGCACCACAGAGUGCUCUGGGGGUCAGAGCAGGGAGGUGGCCUUAAGCCUCAAGCUACAGGAUGGGUUUAAAGCCUCAGAGAUUAGAGCAAAGGAACAGAAGAAUGAUAACCCAGAAAAAUCUCAUGUGCUGUCUACCUUAUUAGCAUAUCUCAUCCUACCAAAAAGACAUUAGAAUUUGUUUUCUUGUAAAUGAUAAUAAUAAUAGCAUUAUUAUCAUCUUUAUUAUUAUUCACUAUCAGUGUAGCCCUCCCAGCAAAAUAAAGUUAGGCAACAUUCCUUCAGUCCCUGAAAUGUGAUUUACAGGUAUACUCAAAUCCAGAGAGAAUCACGAACCCAGAAAGCAUGCAAAUUUUAGGCACCAGCUUCACCCUUGUCUUCAAAGUAAUCUUUUCUUCUGUUUUGUUGUGUCUUUUUUUUUUUAGGAAGAUUUGCCCUGAGCUAACAUCUGCUGCCAGUCCUCCUCUUUUUGCUGAGGAAGACUGGCCCUGAGCUAACAUCCAUGCCCAUCUUCCUCUACUUUAUAUGUGGGAUGCCUGCCACAGCAUGGCUUGCCAAGUGGUGCCAUGUCCGCACCCAGGAUCCAAACUGUCGAACCCCGGGCCGCCAAAGCGGAAAGUGCUCGCUUAACCACUGUGCCACCAGGGUGGCCCCUGUUUUGUUGUGUCUUUAUCAAGAUCUGCCAAAAAGUCAUUCAAGUGACCAGUUCACAUUCUUCUUCCUCUCUGUCUAGCAUCUAAAAGUACUAAAAUAAAACAUUGGAAUAAAUAAAAGGCAAAGAGACAGAAAGGAAGAAGAACAGAAACAAAGGACCAAGGCAAUUGUCCCUGCAAAAUUGAGAUCUGACUGACUUUUCUACUACCCAUCAUCGUUCAAUGUCAUUAAGUUGUACCCUGUGAUGUUACCUUAAAGCCAAAACAACUUGCCCACUCAUUCCUAACUUUUAACAACGGACAUAAUGCAGAUAUUCUCCACAAAACAAGUCAGGUGGAUGUCAGAACAGGCCUUGGAAGAUAUUGAAAACUGAGAGCUCAAUAGUGGAUCACUCUGGCAGCAGAUUAAAUGAGUAAUACAUGAGCAUCAAUUCCACAUACCUUUUCCAUUUAAAUUUCAGCACUGAAUCAAACAUCAGGCAACUGCGUGAGAUGAAGUAGGACCAAAGCAAGAAGGAAAUUAUAAUAAUGUAGCUUGUAAUACAACUUCAUUUCAAAUAACGUCUUUCAUAUAAACUGGUAUCCAAAAUGCUUUACCGAAUAAAAUAGUACAAGAAAGUGGACAGCAUCUGGUAUAAAUUACAGAAAACGGCAGUGCAAGGAUAUUAUAUGUGGGGCAAAUUAAAGCAUUCCAUCAUAAAGCCGACAGCAGUGGGAAAGAGCAUGAAGAGGUACGGCAAAGUGCAUAAUUUUAGAUGAGGAGCAUUUUUCUCCCCACUUAUGUUUUCCAAAAUGAAGUACUUACCAUUCUCUUUUAGUAGAAUAGUUUAAGCUGUGGAUUUUAUAAAGCUGAAUUUUUGGAUGCUUAGCUUGAAUAUUGCAAUCAAUCAGAAAGAAUGAGGGGUUCUGUGUGAAGAAUCAAACAUCCCCCAAAAUGGGCUGAGUGUCUAAAGUGGCAAGUCUACAGGUGGCAAAAUCAUCUUCCAGGCUAAUAUAGCACGGUAGUUUAGAGCAUAGGCAUUGUCAUCAGACGGAUCAGACCCAUGCCUUAACUCUGUCACUUAAGAUUUGUAUGGCCCUGGACAAUGUAUCACCUCUCUUUCCCUCAGUUUCCUCAUCUCUAAAAUGAGAAUUACUAUAAUAUCUAUUAACAAGAUUGUCAUAAAGAUUAAAUAAAAUUCAUAUGAAAUGUUUAGCAUGGGGUCAGUAGCACAGUCAUUUAAAAUGUUAGCUACUCUAAAUAUUAGGUAUGAAGAGAUCUGAGUCCCCACAGGAACUCCAGAACCACCUGUGAGGGCCUCUAGAUUUGUCAAAGCCCAGUGGUGUUCAGAUACAGUAGUCAGGAUUCACUUCAGAGCACUCCCCACUGGCACAUCCUCCUCCGGGGGUGCUACAGCAUUCAAGGGUGUGAAUCUCUGAAGUCACAUGACUUUUGGUUUAUAAUCAAGAAUCUGAAACAACAAAACUGAUACUCCUUAAAAUCUGGUAGAAAGGGGCCAGCCAGGUGGCGCAGCAGUUAAGUGCACACGUUCCGCUUCAGCAGCCUGGAGUUGGCCGGUUUGGAUCCUGGGUGCAGACACGGCACUGCUUGGCACACCAUGCUGUGGUAGGCGUCCCACAUAUAAAGUAGAGGAAGACGGGCAUAGAUGUAAGCUCAGGGCCAGUCUUCCUCAGAAAAAAGAGGAGGAUUGGCAGAUGUUAGCUCAGGGCUAAUCUUCCUCGAAAAAAAAAAAAUCUGGUAGAAGAUCCAGAGUCAGUCUUUUGUUAAGAGGUUCACGAGGGGAAGUUAGGGCACAUGAGCUUGUCUACUUAACAAGUGACUAUUGAGGUUAUAGAAUCAGAUUUCCCAGCUACACUGCUUCCUCCCUGCUCUUACUGACUCCCAAAAUUAUGGCUCUGUUGUGUGGCCUUGCUUGUUCCUCUCUGUCUUUGAUGACUUCCAGGAAUGUACUCCCUGUGAGAACCCACAGUGUCCACCAUUCCCCUGGUAUUAGUUACAUAUUGCUGCAUAACAAAGCAUCCCAAAACUUAGCACCUUAAAACAACAAAUAUUUAUUAUCAUGCAAUUUCUGAGGGCCAGGAAUCCAGGAGUAGCUAAGCUUUGUGUUUCUGGCUCAAGAUCUCUCACGAGCUCUCUGCAAAGUCAAGCUGCCAGCCAGGACUGCAGGAUCAUUUCAACGUUCACUCGUGUGGCUGUCGGCAGCAGAUUUCAGCUCCUCACCAUGUGGGUGUCUUCAAAGUACUGCUCAUGAUGUGUGAGCUGGUUUUCCCCAGAAUGAGGGAUCCAAGAAAGCGAGAGACCAAAGCAGAAGCUGCAUUGUCUUCUAUAACCUAAUCUCAGAAGUGACAUACUGUUUUACUUUGCAGUGUUCUAUUGGUCACACAGACCAACACUGGUACAAUGUGGAAAGGGUGUGAAUAGCAGGAGGCAGGGAGAUUUGGGCCCGUUUUGGAAGCUGACUACCACGCCCCUUUGUGGGUAACUGAUCUUCAGCCCCAGCCACUUGUGGACAUGCUUAGCCUGUUGAUGACUAGGAUCCAGUUUGUCUCUACGUUUCUGUUCUUACCAAGCUAAACUAUUGUAAACUACUGAAAGAUGCUAAAGUUUUCCUUUCUCAAAGCACAAGCCAAAACAUUUACCCUAUUACAUAUAACAUAAGUACUUUAAGGCUUUUAUCUGUUUGUUCUUCCGAGUAAACUGAAUAUGUUUAUUGAAGAGCAUUAGCUAUUAGAACUCAAGGAUCACAUCUCUGUAACUGAC